ACUCCCUCCUCAUACCACUGUGCGUGCUCGCAGGAUACAUGUACACAUCUGGGAGACCCACAUCCCCAGAGCCAAUGCUCCCGGCCCCUCUCCUGCCCCUCCCCACUCACUAGACCGCCCUUUGCAAGUCACUGUGUGACCAUCACUCACUGCCCUGUGCCCUGAGAGAUGAACUUCCUCCACGCCUCUCUCUGCCUAGCGAGCUUCUGCUUAUCCUUUGAACACAGUCCAAACAGCACCUCCUCUUUGAAGCUUUUCACGUGUCUCUAAGCAACGGGAUGUCACCAUCUGUACAGUGGUUCACAGUGUGAGCUUUGGAGCCAGGUUGCCUGCCUUCAAAUCCUGGCUCUGCCAUCUUCGUAGCUGCAUGGCUUUAGCCAGGAUUUCGGUGAAGAAUGAUACAGAAAUGCAUGAAAUGAACAGAGUGUUUUGAGGCAAGGUACCAUUUAAAAUAAUCUCUUGUGGCAAUAUUAUGGGAAAUAUAGCUUUAAGGACUACAGUCGCGAUCUCUUGAGUUCCUAACCAGUAAACCAGUUAAAGCUCUCCAAUCUCCAGUUUCUCCCCCACAAUUUUCCGGGAGAAGGCUAAGGGCAGGAAGAAAGCAAGGCCAUCAGGAGAUCCAGUACCUACAAGGGACGACCGGAGGACAUCGAAUGGAGACCCAAAGGCACUUUAAAUACCCAGCCACACAACCGCGGCAGGGAGGAACUGACCUUCUC